rnacentral:rRNA from 1 species
AACGAACGCUGGCGGCAUGCCUAACACAUGCAAGUCGAACGAGACCUUCGGUUCUAGUGGCGCACGGGUGCGUAACGCGUGGGAACCUGCCCUUAGGUUCGGAAUAACUCCCCGAAAGGGGUGCUAAUACCGGAUAAUGUCUUCGGACCAAAGAUUUAUCGCCUUUGGAUGGGCCCGCGUUGGAUUAGCUAGUUGGUAGGGUAAAAGCCUACCAAGGCGACGAUCCAUAGCUGGUCUGAGAGGAUGAUCAGCCACACUGGGACUGAGACACGGCCCAGACUCCUACGGGAGGCAGCAGUGGGGAAUAUUGGACAAUGGGCGAAAGCCUGAUCCAGCAAUGCCGCGUGAGUGAUGAAGGCCUUAGGGUUGUAAAGCUCUUUUACCCGGGAUGAUAAUGACAGUACCGGGAGAAUAAGCACCGGCUAACUCCGUG